rnacentral:rRNA from 1 species
AGAGUUUGAUCCUGGCUCAGAUUGAACGCUGGCAGCGUGGAUGAGGCAUGCAAGUCGAACGAAUCAUAGCAGCUUGCUGCUGUGGUUAGUGGCGGAAGGGUUAGGAAUACAUGGGUAACCUGCCUUUAACUUGGGGAUAACGGUUGGAAACGACCGCUAAUACCGAAUGUGGUGGGGUGCGGCAUCGCACCUUCAUUAAAGUGGGGGAUCGUAAGACCUCGCGGUUAAAAAAGGGCCCAUGCGAUAUCAGCUUGUUGGUGAGGUAAUGGCUCACCAAGGCUAAGACGUCUAGGCGGGUUGAGAGAUUGACCGCCAACACUGGGACUGAGACACUGCCCAGACUCCUACGGGAGGCUGCAGUCGAGAAUCAUUCGCAAUGGGCGAAAGCCUGACGAUGCGACGCUGCGUGAACGAUGAAGGCCCUCGGGUCGUAAAGUUCUUUCGCUUGGGAACAAGAGAUGGAUGCUAACAUCAUUCAAAUUUGAGGGUACCAAGUAAAGAAGCACCGGCUAACUCCGUGCCAGCAGCUGCGGUAAUACGGAGGGUGCAAGCGUUAAUCGGAUUUAUUGGGCGUAAAGGGGGCGCAGGCGGGAAGAUAAGUCAGAUGUGAAAGCCCAGGGCCCAACCUUGGAACAGCAUUUGAAACUAUUUUUCUUGAGGAUAGGCGGAGAAAACGGAAUUCCACAAGUAGCGGUGAAAUGCGUAGAUAUGUGGAAGAACACCCGUGGCGAAAGCGGUUUUCUAGCUUAUACCUGACGCUGAGGCCCGAAAGCUAGGGGAGCAAACAGGAUUAGAUACCCUGGUAGUCCUAGCCGUAAACGAUGUGUACUUGGUGUAACUGAACUCAACCUCAGUUGUGCCGUAGCUAACGCGAUAAGUACACCGCCUGGGGAGUACGCUCGCAAGGGUGAAACUCAAAAGAAUUGACGGGGACCCGCACAAGCAGUGGAGCAUGUGGUUUAAUUCGAUGCAACGCGAAGAACCUUACCUAGGCUUGACAUGUAGUGGACCGCUGCAGAAAUGCAGCUUUCUUUACAGACCGCUACACAGGUGCUGCAUGGCUGUCGUCAGCUCGUGCCGUGAGGUGUUGGGUUAAGUCCCGCAACGAGCGCAACCCUUGUCAUUAGUUGCCAACAGUUCGGCUGGGAACUCUAAUGAGACUGCCUGGGUUAACCAGGAGGAAGGUGGGGAUGACGUCAAGUCAGCAUGGCCCUUAUGCCUAGGGCUACACACGUGCUACAAUGGUCGGUACAAAGGGUAGCGAAGCCGCGAGGUGAAGCAAAUCUCAUAAAGCCGGCCCCAGUUCGGAUUGUUCUCUGCAACUCGAGAGCAUGAAGGCGGAAUCGCUAGUAAUCGCGGAUCAGCAUGCCGCGGUGAAUACGUUCCCAGGCCUUGUACACACCGCCCGUCACACCAUGGGAGUUGGUUUCACCCGAAGGCAGUGCUCUAACCCGCAAGGGAGGAAGCUGACCACGGUGGGAUCAGCGACUGGGGUGAAGUCGUAACAAGGUAACC